rnacentral:rRNA from 1 species
AGUUUGAUCCUGGCUCAGAUUGAACGCUGGCGGAAUGCUUUACACAUGCAAGUCGAACGGCAGCACGGGAGCUUGCUCCUGGUGGCGAGUGGCGAACGGGUGAGUAAUAUAUCGGAACGUAUCCAAUAAUGGGGGAUAACUAAUCGAAAGGUUGGCUAAUACCGCAUACGCCCUGAGGGGGAAAGCUGGGGAUCUUCGGACCUAGCGUUAAUGGAGCGGCCGAUAUCUGAUUAGCUAGUUGGUGGGGUAAAGGCCCACCAAGGCGACGAUCAGUAGCUGGUCUGAGAGGACGACCAGCCACACUGGAACUGAGACACGGUCCAGACUCCUACGGGAGGCAGCAGUGGGGAAUUUUGGACAAUGGGCGCAAGCCUGAUCCAGCCAUUCCGCGUGAGUGAAGAAGGCCUUCGGGUUGUAAAGCUCUUUCGCAAGGGAAGAAACGAUUUAGGUGAAUAAUCUAAGUUAAUGACGGUACCUUGAUAAGAAGCACCGGCUAACUACGUGCCAGCAGCCGCGGUAAUACGUAGGGUGCGAGCGUUAAUCGGAAUUACUGGGCGUAAAGCGUGCGCAGGCUGUUUUGUAAGUCAGAUGUGAAAUCCCCGAGCUCAACUUGGGAACUGCGUUUG